UACGUAGGGUGCGAGCGUUGUCCGGAAUUAUUGGGCGUAAAGAGCUCGUAGGCGGUUCGUCACGUCGGCUGUGAAAACCUGAGGCUCAACCUCAGGCCUGCAGUCGAUACGGGCGGACUCGAGUUCGGCAGGGGAGACUGGAAUUCCUGGUGUAGCGGUGAAAUGCGCAGAUAUCAGGAGGAACACCGGUGGCGAAGGCGGGUCUCUGGGCCGAUACUGACGCUGAGGAGCGAAAGCGUGGGGAGCGAACAGG
rnacentral:rRNA from 1 species